AACGAACGCUGGCGGCAUGCCUAACGCAUGCAAGUCGAACGAGACCUUCGGGUCUAGUGGCGCAAGGGUGCGUAACGCGUGGGAACCUGCCCUUAGGUUCGGAAUAACUCCCCGAAAGGGGUGCUAAUACCGGAUAAUGUCUUCGGACCAAAGAUUUAUCGCCUUUGGAUGGGCCCGCGUUGGAUUAGCUAGUUGGUAGGGUAAAAGCCUACCAAGGCGACGAUCCAUAGCUGGUCUGAGAGGAUGAUCAGCCACACUGGGACUGAGACACGGCCCAGACUCCUACGGGAGGCAGCAGUGGGGAAUAUUGGACAAUGGGCGAAAGCCUGAUCCAGCAAUGCCGCGUGAGUGAUGAAGGCCUUAGGGUUGUAAAGCUCUUUUACCCGGGAUGAUAAUGACAGUACCGGGAGAAUAAGCUCCGGCUAACUCCGUG
rnacentral:rRNA from 1 species